GUGGAGGUGAUGCAUUGUACUGGGGGGAAUCCCAUUCUUCCAUUCUGCCGGGAUUCCUCAGAGCCAGCAGUGGAACAGACUAAGUCCACUGAUCCGCAGAGGCUGUGGCUGCCCCUCCCCCAGGGGCUCCGUCCCAGGGAUUUCAGAGUUCUGUAAACCUCUGGCUGGAGUUCCUGAAGUUCCUGCAGAGUGGUCCUGGGAGCGGCAUCACUCCAAUAACACAGCAUCUAGAUCAUGGUUUCUGAAUGACCUUCAACACUAGAAAGAAUUGGGAUUUCCAGGUCCAAGGCAAGAAAAGGUGAUGGAGAGCUCCAUUCCUGCAAAAAUUUAGCUUCAAAGAGUUCUGCUAAUGGACGAGAUACAGACACCUUCUAACCAGCAGGUGGCAAAGUGGGUUCCAGACACUGAAGUCCUGUGCUGGCAGCUGGAUUUGGAGCCAAUGUGCACAGAAGAGGAAAAGGAAAAAGAGAUGUGUGGGGAAACAACAGCAUCUGCCAAAGAAUGGAUUGAAGAAGAAAAAAGUAGUAAGUUGAAAUUCAGGGGAAUGGAUUUUUCUCCAGAAACAAAUAUAAAAGAAAACUUCAACAAAGGUGGAA
rnacentral:lncRNA from 1 species